CUAUGUACAGGUGCAGUAAUCUGUGAGCUGCUCUGACAGUUGGUGCUUAAAGCUAGUGAGGGAGAUAAGUGUUUCCAGUUUCAGAGAUUUUUGUAGUUCGUUCCAGUCAUUGGCAGCAGAGAACUGGAAGGAGAGGCGGCCAAAGAAAGAAUUGGCUUUGGGGGUGACUAGAGAGAUAUACCUGAUGGAGCGUGUGCUACGGGUGGGAGAUGCUAUGGUGAAUAUGCUAUGCUAUGCUGGAACGAAUUGCAAAAAUCACUGAAGCUGGAGACUCAUAUCUCCCUCACUAUUUUUAAGCAUCAGCUAUCAGAGCAGCUUACAGGUCAUUGCACCUGUACAUAGCCCAUCUGUAAAUAGCCCAUCCAACUACCUCAUCACCAUAUUGUUGUUUAUUUUAUUUAUAUUUUUUAUAAUUUUUUACUUUUUUAUAAUUUUGCCACUUCGGCCUAUUUAUUGCCUUACCUCCCUAAUCUUACUUCAUUUGCACACACUGUAUAUAGACUUUUGUAUUGUGUUAUUGACUGUAAGUUUGUUUAUUCCAUGUGUAACUGUGUUGUUGUUUGUGUCACACUGCUUUGCUUUGUCUUCGCCAGGUCGCAGUUGUAAAUGAGAACUUGUUCUCAACCUGCUUACCUGGUUGAAUAAAGGUGAAAUAAAAAAAAUAAUAUACUCUAUGUGGGAAUAUCUUAGGUCCAUCCUACAUGUAGUGUUGGUACAUGGAAUAUUCCUCAACUGCAUAUAUCAUAAAUUGCUAUUGUAAAUAGAAAUAUUAUGUUCAACAACUCACAUUUUCAGAUAUCAUUUUGACAAACACACUUUGGUGCAUACAAUUCAUUCUCUAUUGUCAUAGAUUUGGUGGGCACUGUCAUCUGGGAUCUUUGUGAUAUGACUUUCUUUAAGCACGUACUGAUGAAACUGUCACGUAAUAUUUUUUUCUUAAAGUCUAUAAACACUUUACAUUCAUUCACUCUGUGAUAGGGUUGGAUCCUAUAUGCUACUUUUAUUAGUGUCCUGUAAAUGGUUCAGUGCUUAUAAUUUAGGCUGUGUGGAAUGGGGCAUGAAGGAAAUUACCUCUACUUAUAAAUUCCUACUAGGUUAUAGUGAUAAGGAAAACAGCAUACACAUUUGGCUUGUGUAUUCAUUUGCCUAUAACUAAUCAUAAUUUAAUUAUUUUUUACAUAAAAAAGAGAAUACUUCAAAAUGAGAAGAUCCUGCCAUGGAAAAGACGACUGCGUGGACAUAAAGUGUAAAGGAGGGUAAAUAACUCACACCAUGCAGCAGGACACCUUCAGCUGUGGGGUCUUUGUAAUGCAGGUUUGAUAGUUGUAUUUUCAAUAAUUAAUGGUUAGCUGUUAUGUGACAAUUAGGUAAAAAACUAUAUUUUAUUUUUUGGUGUAGAUGGCCAAGGAAGUUGCUUCCCCAACAUCCCCUCCCAAAUUGAUAUGGAACCUUCAAAAACACAUGGCGAAACUGCAAAAGGAAAUGGUUGAGGAUGUACUAAAAAUGUCUGAGUUCAACAAAGCCAAGAACUGCUUCGUAUGUGCCACUGAUAAAGAACCUGGAUGUGGCUCAAAGACUGACUGGGAAUGAAGACAAAAGAGUUCAACAGAGUAAAGAACACAAACUGGAAGUGCAGUCGGUUGUUGUUGAAAACGUAUGCUGUACCCCAUCCACACUGAAGAGGCUCUGACAUGUACAUCAACCAGGGAUCAAGAGAAAGUUAACACUGUAAAAUAUUUCAUACUUAAUUGAAGAUAAGUGUCUGAUGACAUGUUGGAAAAGAUUAAAGGUCUACAAUUUCU